GCAAAAUAACAGUACAUUGUGGCCUUGAUUGUCAUCCUGUAUAUAGUUACAUACAAUUAUGCAUCUCUUGUCAGGUGGCUACACAAUAACAUUAGUAUCUGUAAAACUUGUUACAUUCAAGAUACAUAAAAAAAAGGAGACCCAUACGAACUAGCCCCUACGACAAUCUCCACUACUAUUAAACAAUCCAACAAGAACUUUUUUAAGUGCACCCCGCAAUUACCCCCAGCACACCGGACGACUCAUUCACCACCGCACGAUUAGACCCACAAAUCUGAAUCUAACAGCCAUCAUUGAUCUAAUACCUCUACGGUGUGCAUGUAGCAACUUCCGUUGGCUGACCGUGCUUCACCUGCAGGGAAUAUUCCACCUACGCGUGUGAUGUCCCUACAAUCACGCAAAUGUAAUCGCUAACUUCUCCGUGAUUGCAUCUCUUCUAGCCCCUGCCUCCCCGCACCUAUCGCCACCGCCCCUCGCUAAAAUAAAACCCACACGCCCGACGGCCGACGACGCACGACCCUCCUCCCUCGAGCAGCAGCAACGGAGCGGCGAGUAGGGGCUCAACCUAUGUCGACGGGCGGCGUGGUCCCUCUCCUCCAUCGAGUAGCGGCAGCGGCACGGGACGCAGCGGGCUCGGCCUUCGUCGGUGGCGGCAGGGUCCCUUUCCUCCCUCGACCAUCGGCGGCGGCACCGAAUGCAACAGGCGGCCAGGGAGACGGCGCUGCGUGCAAGGCGCGGCAACGAAGCUGAGGGAGCCGGCCCUUGUGGCACGGGGGCGCGACGGUUCCAUGGCGGCUGUGGGGUGGAGGGCGCGUGCGUGAAGGCGGCGCAUUCCUUUGGCUUUCGGCAUGCCGCGGCAUUGACUUCCCUGCUGUCGUCGUGCUCCCUGAUGCCAGCUCCUCCUUCCUCCCGCCGCUGGACAUGCACAACACCAUCCCAUGCCCUCUGUCCGCUGGCCAGAGAAAGGCAUCAGUGAGAAAUAUGGAUGAUGCACGCGAACGGAUUGGCACUCCCAUCUCCACUGCACUGAAGGAGAUCAAGCCCAUUUCCAUCAGCAUCAACUAGAACCUCCCCUCGACCUGCAUCCUUGCCUUUCUUUUGUAUCUCCCCAAGGUAAGUUGGCAUGCUCCAUGUUCGUGCAUAAGGACGGUGAGAUGGAUAUGGGUUUGGUAUUACUGUUGUUGAUGAACUGCUCAUUUGCCAGACUGUCAAACCAGAUGAGCCUGAAAGGAACCAAGAGAAAUGACUAUUCAUUUGGCUUUGGUAUUACUAUUGUUGAUGAACUGCUCAUUUGCCAGACUGUCAAACCAGAUGAGCCUGAAAGGAACUAAGAGAAAUGACUAUUCAUUUACCAAUCUUGCCAUUCUCUGUAUUGUCAAUUUGCCAAUUCGACUGAUGCUUGAAUGUAUUAGUAGACAAAAUGACAUGUUUGUUGAUCAGCUAUGAUAUGUGUUUCCAUUGGCUACUUGCCGCUUUCUAAGGGGCAGAUUUUAGCUUGACAAGAUUUGUGCAAAAACAUAGCAGUGCUCUUGAUCUGAUGGAAACUCAGAGUAGGGUGUUCCAAACUAGAUUGAUACACGUAAGAAUUUUUGACUGAUUUUUAUGCUCAGAGCUACAUACAUGCUCGCAGCGCUUCACCUAUCCUAGAACUUUCAUUUCAAUUUUUGUGUCGCUACAAUUUGUCCAUUAAUCGAUAUUCUAGCUCCAUUAAUUGGUAUUCUAGCUGAAAGUUUCAAAGUUGUCAAUUGUUUUCGAAACUCGGUUCACAGAGUGGCUGGUCCUUUUUUGGGACAUAUUUGUUGUGUCUUUUCCCCAUUUUGUCUUGUAUUUUGUCAUACACAGUUCAAUUAGCUAAUUGUUAUUAUGCCAUAGGUAAAUUGUGCAACCUAUUGCCGCUCUGCCAUGGGUCACAUGGUCGUCCUUCAUACACCGCUUUACUAGGACUAACGCUGAAGUACAGAUGAUGGUGUAUGUAAGUUUUCAUUAUUUCCUCAGUUUUUGUUUUUCCACAGUUUUCUAACUGGGGUCCUCACACAUUUUUUGUGUGUGUACAUUACGGGCCACCUAGAAAAUUUCAAAAGAAGUUGCCUCUUGUUUGGACACCCCGAAGCACGGGCUGGCAAGACUAAGAUUGGGCAAAGAGAGCUUCAGGAGGACCGUUUAUGACACCUCACUCGACGGUUUAUUCUUCAAGCAAGGAUGGAAGAAGUUCCUCACGAGACAUGAAAUGAGAUUAGCACUGCUAUACUAAUUACAUUUAAGACUGUUGCCAACAAUGAGUUGGAGAUUAUAGUCAUCCUUUUAUGUCCUUUGAGAAGAUCAUGUUGGACAAGUUCCAGGCUUUCAUGAGUUAUUUAGUCAUUUCUCAGCGUUUUUUAAACCAUGGAGGAGAACUGCAUGUGAACUUCAUAGAUACGAGAAGAAAAGAAUAAAGGCAUGUAAAAAGUUCAAUUCAUUUUCUGUUUAUUUUGUUUCCUCUUUCUCUAUGUACUGGUUUUUGAACUGUGGUUUGUGAAUCGGAUGUAUAUAUUCAUGUUUUAGUGUGUUUGUUCA